rnacentral:misc_RNA from 1 species
GACUCGACAACGGCGGCGUCUCUUCACACAACGCACUCCACUUGUGAUCUAUCGAACCCAUCCCACACGCCUGCACCGACUUCAUUUCCGUCCUUCUCAUGCCCGUCCACGGCAACACCCGAAGCCUCAAUGAAGAGACGCGCUCACACGUCAAAAGGAAAAGCAAGUGAAACCAUAAGUAUUCUGUGUGGCUCUGCUGUAUCACAGUUGACGUGCACUGACAUAUAUGUGUAUCUGCUUGCACUUUAUCUACGCAAGGGCGUCGCCAUUUCCCUGUCUCUUCUUAUUGCUGCUGCCAUCCUUUGUGCCCUCUCUUCCUUUUCUGUUUCCUCUCAGCCUUGCCGCAUAAGAAUAGCUGCGAGGGUGGGAGUUGAGAGAGGACGCCUCGCGCUCUGUAUGCGUGUGCCACUGGUACACACAUAGGUAUACGUGCCCCGCAGUCACCAGGAGGCACACACACACACACACAACCUCAUUAGCAUGCAGCGGCAGAUACUGGCAGGCGCGCUAGUACCUUUUCUGCUGUUGAUUGAUUUUUGCCCACCGGCAUUUCCUCUACCGCCUUCCCCGUCACCCCUCUCCGGGCCUUUUAGAUUGGAUGCGUGCGCUCUCUCUGUAUUACUCGCCCUCUGCACCGCUGCAUCAGCGCAGCGCUUUGCUUUGCGCCGGUGCUUCCUCUUGUUUUCGGGCCCUUUGCUCUCAUCUUUUUCGAUAGUCUCACCAGAGAUGACAAUGCACCCCCUACCACCACCAACAAAUUGACUCAUGCUCGCACAAAAACGAAUGAAGGAAGCGUUUCCACAGCGUUCGCAUCAAGCGCCUCCAUCACCGCCUUCACGGUUUACGUCCCUCUUGCUUUCUUCUCACUCGUGGCUUUGUCCUUUCCAUGCAAGCCAGGCAGACACACAGUAAUCAGAGCUUGCAAGACAAAAUAAAGAAAUGGGGAGAAGAGGAAAAACGCAUGCCUGCUCACCUGCACAGAAACUGCAAAGACGUCUCCUCGCGCUCGAGUGCGUCGACACAUGGAAAGGAGCUUGCAGUGACCACUGCCGUGCGUGUGAACGGCUGACGCGUCUUGUGCGGCAGGUACACAGGCGUUUUUUAUUUUCAUUCUCUCACUCAAGCUCGACGCAGCAGUUCGACAGCGCCAUCUGCCUCGUUGCCGCUCUUUCGCCAUGGCGCUGCUUUCUUUGCAGCAUCGGAGAGGGGGGAGGCGAGGCGAAUGCUGCACGAUAGAGAGACCGUCUUCUGCUUACCUGCUCUUUCCAUUAUAUACAUAGGGGCGGCAGUGUGGAGUGCGAGCGCGUGGGAUGAGGGAGAGGGGUAGAGUAGGCUGCUGCACGUGAACGCACCCGCAAGAUACUUUCCAGCGCACCCCAAUUUUCUUUUUUUUAUCUGUACCUUUAAGCAGCCCCGAUAGCGGUGUUAGGGAACGCCUCAGUGCGUGGCAUCCGCGGUCCAGUACCCCCACUCUGUGGGAAUGCCGAGCAGCCGCCCGCCCCUGUCCCCCGCCCCUGUCCCCCGCCAGUGCCGAGGCACUUCUGCUGCUGAUAGGGCCAGGCACCUACGGCGUGUGGGAGGUCAGAGCGACUUAUCGCUACUGAUGUCGGCGGCCGGGGUGCUGGAUGGCGCUGCGCCGGAGCGACCUGUGAUUGUGAGCAUAUUUGUGCCAUCCAUAUGAUGGCUAGAGUGUGAGCGUGACUCGAGCGUAUUUCGCCCGGCCCUCACUGCCCUGCUGGUGGGGUGGGGCGCUUGUGUGCCACCCGGAGGGUGAUGCGCCGGGUGGCGAGCAGCACAAUGGGAAGCGACUGUGAGGCAGCCUGCUUGGUGGGCGGGUGGGCAGAGUUUGAGGCAGAGACGGCGCUCCGAUGACUGUGUCGGCGCAUUGCUGUAAUGCGCUUCUAGCGCUGCUUCGCACCGCGCGGAAUGGGGGCCUGUGGCAGGCUGUGAGGGGUAGGGUGGAGUGGAGCUCGUGCUGUAUGGCGGAGGAUGCGCCGGGAAAAGUGCACUUCCUCGCAAAAACCGCUUCUUCUCCCUCCUCUGUUUUUACCAAUUGCAUCGUGGUUUAUGCACAGGGCGUGCAUGUGUGUUCUUUGCUUUUUGGUUGCCUGUGAUGACAUGCGCUCACCUCUGUCCGUCUCUACGUCCGCACUACUCCCCCGCGCGACGCCUCCGCAGCCCUCUCUCUCUCGGAUCUUUUUGUUCCUUCCUGCACUCCAUUCUGCACUGCUCUCUGUUGAAUUGUUAUUUUUUUUUUGCUUACGUUCUUGCUCUGCUGCAACAAGUCGUCUUCUCUUCGCAUGGUGUGUGCACAAGGCGAGAGAUAUAGAUGCCUGCAGGAAAGGGUCACGCGCCAGCAUCCGCUGAAAACUACAGCGAUGGUCUGUAUCAAGUCUCUGCCUCCCCCCCCCCUGUCGAGCUUUACUUGCCAGGAAGUGCAGUUUUGUUCAACUUCCGGCGUGUGUGCAUGUGCGUUCGCUUGACUACUUGAUGUCGUUGAGAUCGCGCCGAGCGCUUGCUCACACCAAACGGAUUCUCUAAAGCUGAGCGUGUGCCGUGCCUCUGCGAGGUAUGCGGCGAACUUGAGAAGGAUUCGCACAUACAUGCCUAUAGAGAAAAAAGGGAUCUCAAAGGAAACAAUUGGAAACAUAAUUGCGUUCAAGCAUCGGGAGGGUCAACACGUUGCUCUUCACCUUCACCUCUUUGGCAGAACUGAUGGCCGGUGUUUCGUCUCUGCCAUAGGUGCUGGAGACUCCGCUUCAUUACCGCUCCUUCUUUUUUUUCUUCGGAGGCAGCUGUGCAGUGUAGCCGGCAAGUGCUCAUCACGACACAUACGUGCUGCUUCAUUCUCCCCCGCUUUAUCACCUCGUUAGGUACACUCUUCUUUAGAAUCACUCUCCUCUGCUAUUCUAUCGCUUUCUGGCCCAUUGACCGGCCCGCUAAUCCCACUCACCCCACUCACUCACCCACGACCGUCGCUACGCAUGACCUGCCCCAACACAUACAG